rnacentral:rRNA from 1 species
CGCGUAGGUGGUAGUGUAAGUCUGGGGUGGAAUGCCGGGGCUUAACCCUGGAAUUGCCUUGGAAACUGCAUUACUUGAGUCAGUGAGGGGAGGGUAGAAUUCCUGGUGUAGCGGUGAAAUGCGUAGAUAUCAGGAGGAAGGCCUGUAGCGAAGGCGGCCCUCUGGUGCUGGACUGACACUGAGGCGCGAAAGCGUGGGGAGCAAACAGGAUUAGAUACCCUGGUAGUCCACGCCCUAAACGGUGGGCACUAGGUGUAGGGCUCGUAAGGGUUCUGUGCCGAAGGGAAACCAUUAAGUGCCCCGCCUGGGGAGUACGGCCGCAAGGUUGAA